UGAAACCGGUACAGUUCCAUCCUUGUCCGCCGUUGAGCUAAGGCUAAAGAUAGAACAUACAC
rnacentral:sRNA from 1 species